AGAAAACUACUCGAUAUUUGCGCUGUCAGCUCUGUCACCAGGCCUUCGAGCCAGACUUCCGCUCCACCAUCGUUCUUUCGUUCUCAACCAGUCAAACCGACCAGAAGGAAAAUGAGAGCUAAGUGGCGUAAGAAGCGUAUGCGUAGGUUGAAGCGUAAGCGCAGAAAGAUGCGUGCACGUUCCAAGUAGACGCAGCACAGCACCGUCGUCGACCACUAAAUGGAACUUUUGAUUACAAGCACACUACUGAAACAUGCCGUCUGGGAACCAAAUUGAGGCCCGAAAGUAAUUUUGCAAAAGCAGUUCACGCAAAACAAGAAAAUGUGCAUUUUAAAUACACUUCAAAAUUUCAAGUUUAAAUUGCUUCCAAUAAAAAUUACUGGAUUUUCACAAAAGUUCCAACCGAA